GAAAGGUGGGCCUUAAAAAAACUAAAUUGUUAUUGGCAGUGAAAUAUGAAGGUACAUCCAAGAAUAUGUUUAUUGUGAAAAUGUGUAGUAAUACCAACUCAUUAAAGUGAUGAGAUGCAGAGAUGAACUCACUUGGAGUCGAUAGGCCCUUGGGUAACACACCCAAACAUGUUCUUUGCUAUUACAAGCUUCCCGAAUCUUAUAUGCAAAAAUGGUAUCAAAUGAAAGUUGUGUUAGCCUUGAUAAAUGAUAUGGCCGAUAGAGUCGUUUAGAAUUCUUUCGUAUUUUAUUUUAUUUUUCAAUUAUCGGUGCGCCCCUAAGAAUACUCUCUCAUACUACAUUGAAAUGGACAUGGACGGAAUCACUAUCCUGUACACUGAGCCUUCUUUUGGAGAGUAAGUCUUGAAAGAGAUCGUGCCCCUUCCCUCCAUACUAGAGAGACAUGAUUGUACUUCGUCAUGGAAGGCUGCAUCUUCACCAAAAGCUUAGUUGAAAUGGGGUUAAUCCAGUUAACAUGCACCUAUUGUUUGAGUAUAUAUUCCCAAAUGAUGUGAUGAAGGUUUGGUGAGUGUUUGUAAUUACUUUUAGAGAGAAUUGCAACAGAGAUAAGGUGGUUACAUCUCUACAUAACAUUUUAUAGAGAUCUCCACAAGCCUGCUCUCGUAAUUGAAGGACGCUUUGUAUUAGUGGUGUAACAAGAGGAGUUGCUAAAUUGUGUUCUCACAUAAGAGGGGAUGCAACUAAAGAGAAUAAUUGCUCAUCAAUCAACAAAUAGUAUGUCACUGUCAUCAUUGUAUUAGAGGAUUGACAUCCUAAUGGAAGAAGGGAGGAGGGCUGAAUAUGAUUGUGUAUGAGAAAAGUUGUUAUGGAACGAUUUGUGAACUUCUUCAUAUGUUUAGGUUUUGCUUUCCGUAUAAAAGUGUUUCUUAUUGUGAAGUGCCAUAAUUGCCCUUGACAGAACUAACAAAUCUGUUUGUAUUGGU